AUUGAACGCUGGCGGCAGGCCUAACACAUGCAAGUCGAGCGGAGCGGCGAACGGGUGAGUAAUGUAUCGGAACGUGCCCAGUAGCGGGGGAUAACUACGCGAAAGCGUAGCUAAUACCGCAUACUAUUGGAGCGGCCGGUAUCGGAUUAGCUAGUUGGUGGGGUAACGGCUCACCAAGGCGACGGUCCGUAGCUGGUGUGAGAGGACGACCAGCCACACGGGGACUGAGACACGGCCCGGACUCCUACGAGAGGCAGCAGUGGGGAAUUUUGGACAAUGGGGGAAACCCUGAUCCAGCCAUCCCGCGUGUGGGUUGAAGGCCUUCGGGUUGUAAAGCACUUUUGGCAGGAAAGCGGUACCUGCAGAAUAAGCACCGGCUAACUACGUGCCAGCAGCCGCGGUAAUAC
rnacentral:rRNA from 1 species